UGGUAGUCGGGGUUACCCCCCGCAAGAGUAGGGCGCUGCCACAU
rnacentral:rRNA from 1 species